rnacentral:rRNA from 1 species
GACGAACGCUGGCGGCGUGCUUAACACAUGCAAGUCGAACGGAAAGGCCCUGCUUUUGUGGGGUGCUCGAGUGGCGAACGGGUGAGUAACACGUGAGUAACCUGCCCUUGACUUUGGGAUAACUUCAGGAAACUGGGGCUAAUACCGGAUAGGAGCUCCUGCUGCAUGGUGGGGGUUGGAAAGUUUCGGCGGUUGGGGAUGGACUCGCGGCUUAUCAGCUUGUUGGUGGGGUAGUGGCUUACCAAGGCUUUGACGGGUAGCCGGCCUGAGAGGGUGAGCGGCCACAUUGGGACUGAGAUACGGCCCAGACGCCUACGGGAGGCAGCAGUGGGGAAUAUUGCACAAUGGGCGGAAGCCUGAUGCAGCAACGCCGCGUGCGGGAUGACGGCCUUCGGGUUGUAAACCGCUUUCGCCUGUGACGAAGCUUGAGUGACGGUAAUGGGUAAAGAAGCACCGGCUAACUACGUG